UUCUAACUUUUUUUUUGAGAACACGGUACAAACGCAGACGCACACAACACGCGCAUACACCUACCCCUAUGAACGCACACACGCACACCCUACCCCUAUGAGCACAUCCGAAAGACCGAGCUGGCAGUUCUUGAGAGAUUUACGAAGUUUUGUUUAUGUUUUUUUUUAAUAUUGUUUAUUGUUUAGUUGAGGCUAACUUUAUUUUGAGGCGGCUAUUGAGGCCUGUCUUUAUUUGGUUAGCCGAAGGUGAUCUUUGAGGCGGCUAUGGAUGGUUCGUUUGGUGCUGCAGAGAGUCGGAACUUGGGUAGUGGAGAAAAAUAAUAAUGCGCGCCCGUGUGUGGUCAGCUAUGUCGAUCAGAAAACUCUGAUUGAAGCACUAAGUCUUAGAGUAUUCAUUAUCUUCGAGUAAAGUUACGAUGAUUACCUGCACCACGCUAGAAUUAAUACUACAGUACUCCCUUUUUCUUUGUUGGCCAACAGGGCAACAGGCUAUAGUUUCUCGAAACUCGUCUGAGAUUGCUGAUUCAAAUAAACGCCUGAGCUGAU
rnacentral:lncRNA from 1 species